CUUCCUAUACAUCCUAACAUUCCUGUCUGUCAGGCAACAUAUGUAUAUGCUAAACAGACUAUGACAACUAGUUCAACACAUUUGCAUGUAAUGACAGAAGCGAUGAAAUAAGGCCAAUUUGUUUUAUGGGGUAGGACUAUUCAGCAUGGGACCAGUAAAGGGCAUUUUUUAUCCAACAGCAGACAUUUGCAAUUGAACAUUU